rnacentral:rRNA from 1 species
AACGCAGCGAAGAGCGAUAAGUAGUGUGAAUUGCAGAAUUCAGUGAAUCAUCGAAUCUUUGAACGCACAUUGCGCCCCUUGGUAUCCCGAGGGGGCAUGCCUGUUCGAGCGUCAUUUCACCACUCAAGCCUGGCUUGGUGUUGGGCGACGUCCCCUUUAGGGACGCGCCUCGAAACACUCGGCGGCGUGGCACCGGCUUUAAGCGUAGCAGAAUCUUUCGCUUUGAAAGUCGGGGCCCCCGUCUGCCGGAAGACCUACUCACAAGGUUGACCUCGGAUCAGGUAGGGAUACCCGCUGAACUUAA